ACUCCUACGGGAGGCAGCAGUGGGGAAUCUUGCGCAAUGGGCGAAAGCCUGACGCAGCCAUGCCGCGUGGAUGAUGAAGGUCUUAGGAUUGUAAAAUCCUUUCACCGGGGACGAUAAUGACGGUACCCGGAGAAGAAGCCCCGGCUAACUUCGUGCCAGCAGCCGCGGUAAUACGAAGGGGGCUAGCGUUGCUCGGAAUUACUGGGGCGUAAAGGGCGCGUAGGCGGACAGUUAAGUUGGGGGUGAAAGCCCGGGGCUCAACCUCGGAAUUGCCUUCAAUACUGGCUGUCUUGAGUACGGGAGAGGUGAGUGGAACUCCGAGUGUAGAGGUGAAAUUCGUAGAUAUUCGGAAGAACACCAGUGGCGAAGGCGACUCACUGGCCCGUUACUGACGCUGAGGCGCGAAAGCGUGGGGAGCAAACAGGAUUAGAUACCCUGGUAGGAUAGCG
rnacentral:rRNA from 1 species